UGUUGAACCAUUAGUUACACAUUUGAGGUUAGCUCUCUUGAUCCAGUAUUUCACAUUGUAAAAUUAUUCAUUGUUACGGUACACAUUGUCAAAAUUAAAAACGUAGUCCUUUUAGAAGAUAAAAGAUAUUGUAAAGGAACUGGAUGUUAGACCAAGAUGGGCGAAAACUGGAGGAAGACAUUAGCUUAUAAAUAUUGAGCAAUUUUAAACUGUGCCAUAGGCUGCACUUAUUAAAUGGGUGAUACUUCAAAUGGUGGCUGACAAUUCACAUGGGGCCCAUUGUUUGCGAUGGGUUGGCCCGGCCCCUGAACAACCCAUGUAUUAUGAAAUCAAAUCAGGUAAUAACAAGCGACUCAAAUGAACAUCAACAUUCACUUUGGACCAACGCAUUAAAACAGCACUCAACUUGUAGUCUCUAUCACACUUUGCGCUAUCCAGAAGUGUUAAUUAUAGAAGUAAAAAUGCAUCAACUCUCGAAAAACAAUCUGUUGGUAAUGACCAUCGCAAAGUGUCAUAGUUAUGAUUGCAUGCUAUUCCACUCUUAACCACGUAAUUAAAUAAGAGAAGAGACAAUGACUCAUCUAGCAAAAGCUAGUGUUUUUUAGCACUGUUUUAAUUUGCAAUGAGGUAAUAGGCCUAUGUCACGCAACAAUUGAAGACCGGAAGAACAUCGUACGACGUACGACGUACGACGACGUCCUUAGGAUCGUACAUCAACACUGACGUGUCCAAACAUCUAAGGUCCAAACUACGUAAGGGAUAUAAGUUCUUCUGGGAGAAGUACAUUUUUAAUGACAGAGGUAAGUGUUUUAAUUCUGUUGACACUGUGUAGCUUGACUGUGACAGAUGGCACUAAGUGUAAUACAUGUCAGUUAAAACGUAUCCUUUUUAAUUAAUCGCAAAAUAUUAUUUACACUGGUAGGAAUAAAUAUUUAGUUUGAGUGUCUCUGAAACUUUGCCUGACGAACCACAAGAUGUUUGGUAUAGGUAGGUAGGCACUGCCUACCGUACAUGCAAGUGUCGAUAGCAGUUCAGAUUAGCUCCAGGCUACUGUCAGAACAUAGUGGCUGGGUGGCUGUCAUAGGCUACCAAUGCCCAUACAUUUUGCUGUAUGAUGUGUUAAUCUUUCCCUCUCUUACUGCAGUGUCAGAUUUAGUUAAUUUGGAAGUAGCAGUUUGGGCAAACUGCUACUGUUCCCAGAAGAAAACCGAUGAGCCUCACAACCUGCAGGUUACAGUGCUAGGAAGUCAGGCCUAGUCUGAAAUCAAACUCUAUCUCGCUUUUCGUAGUCUUUUGUGAAUCAAUGGGACUGUUACUUAGGCCUACCUUUCUGACCACGUUAAUAAGAUUUACAUUUUGGGAUUCAAACAACAGGCCCACCUCGUAACAUAUAGCCUAAUGGAUAGCCUAGAGCAUGGUUUCAGACCUUCACAGAUUCAGGUGCAUGUUCAGUCUGUGUGUGUUUUUAUUAUUAUUGUUUCUUGUUGCUGUUCCAAAAUGCUCUCUCUUUCUCCAGAUCUGCUGUUGCAGAUGAUAAUGUUGUGUUUCAUGUCUGCUGUUGCAGAUUGUAAUGUUUUGUUUGAUAUCUGCUCUUCCAGACACAUGACUACCACUUCACAGGGGAGAAAAGCGUGCCAACACCUCUGUCGUGCACCAGUGUUCUGCAGUCGUGGACCAAGGACACUGGGGAUUCGCUCCAGGGGAUUCGCCCGGAACCCACUGACCAACUUGUGGUCAGGAAACCCAAGGUAUGGGUUAGGUGUUUUAUUUGAACACAUACAUGGACACAUAUCUCCUGAAUGCCAAAUAAAUAUGGCCGAGGGACACACACACACCCCAUUUCAUUUAUUUCUGCUAAAUGUAUAUAUUUAAAUUUAUAUUUUAAUCAAAGAAUUGGAAACGAACAUUCCUGAACAUUUGUUUAAGGUAACACACUCUGAGCACCUUUAAAACAAGACUGAAGACUUUUAUGUUUGCAUUAGCUUUCUGCUAAAUCUUAAA